ensembl:lncRNA
GUAGAGGCGCCGCGUCCCGUAGAGGCGCCGUGCGCAGGCGCGGAGAAUCAAGCUUGUGAUACCGUAGGAGGUAUGCUCUCCGCAGGGUAGUACAGACCGGAGGAACGCUGGACGAUUCCACAUAUAAAGGAUAUCGUAUGCCAUUUGCCUUUCUCUGACUGACUUCUCUUAAUCUCCGGGUCUAUCCAUGUUGCUGCAAAUGGUGUUAUUUCAUUCGUUUUAUGGCUGAGUCAUAGUGCAUUGCAUAGAUGGAAUAUUAUCUUCUUUCUCCACAUCUUCUUUCUCCAUCGUCUGCCCACGGGUGUUUACAUUGCUUCUGUGUCUUGACUAUUAUAAACUGUGCUGCUGUGAACACUGGAGUACAGGGAUCUUUUAGAAUUGGAGCUUUUGUCUUUUCUGAGUAUAUGUCCAGGAGUGGAAUUUUUGGAUCAUAUGGUAACUCUGAGCUUUUUUAAGGAACCUGCAGACUGUUCUCCAUAGUGGUUACAUCAAAUUUACAUUCCCACCAACAGGAUAGGAGGGUUCCCUUUUCUCCACACCCUCUCCAGCAUACUUUUUGUUGAUGGCCAUUCUGAUCUGUGUGAGGUGAUACUUCAUUGUAGUUUAUCCUUAUUUUAUAUUGUUAGUAUCCCCCUGAUAGCACAAGCAAGCAAACAACAACAAAAAACACUAGAGACCAAACUCGCAUAGGUACAGUCUUCUAAAGUAAAAUAUUUGCAAAUUAAUCCCAUACUCCAUUUGGAACAAGAAAGCAUUUAUGCACUGAUUUAAUAUUUGAAAAUAUGUUGCUGUGAAUCAUUUAUAUAGUUUAGAGGUUUUAAAAAAACUAUAUGAUCACCUCAACUGAUAAAUGUUUUCUGAACUAAUUUAGUAUCUACUUAAUACACUUUCAGCAAAAUGGGAUUGGAUAAACAGCAAGUUGAUAAAAGGCACCAUUGUGCAUACUGAUGAAACAUUCGAGACACUGAAGUCAGGAAAAAACAGAUAGCCACUUUCACGGCUAGUGUUUAACAUGGUGUUAGAUUUUGUAGCCAAUGCAGCGAAACAAGAAAAAGACAAGAUUGGGAAAGGAAGAAGCAAAAAUACUAUUUUCAGAUGAUGUAAUUUUUCUUUCUAAAAAAUGCAGGAGAAUUCAGUGACAAACUAUUAGAACUAAUUAAAUGGUUCAGCAAAGUGGCUAACAAUAUAUAAAAACUUAAAAAUUUGUUAUUUGUCAGUAAUACAAUAGAAAAAAAGAGUCCAUCAGAAUACAGUGAACAGAAG